CUACAGGAUUUCUUCAAGAUACAAGAGGUCCCCUUCGUCUCACUCUGGUGACUCCACUGUGGCUGCAUAUUCUGGGGCAGAGUACAUCAAUUGUUUCCGAAGGUGCAUGCUGGCUCCACAGACAUUUUUGAGCUAUACUGUGACCUGUGUCAGAAAACUGACGCUGACAACAGACCUGCAAGUACGAACUUGUUAUCCCUGCUUCACAGAUAAAGGGGCUGACUCACAGGAGGAUUCACUGAUGCAGCCAGGAUUGCACCGCCAGCUCAGAGAGAAAUGGCAUUCCGCUUUGUUGCCCAGGCUGGUCUCAAACUCCUGACUUCAGAGGAUCCUCCUGUCUCAGCCUCCCAAAGUGCUAGGGUUCCAGGCAUGAGCCACUGCGCCCUGCCCGGAGCCUUAUGUUAACAUGUCUAUUACAGGACCUGACAUGAAGAAGAGACUUAAUAAAAGAGACGGGGUUUCACCAUGUUGCCCAGGCUGGUCUCAAACUCCUGACCUCAUGAUCUGCCCACCUCGCCCUCCCAAGGUGCUGGGAUUACAGAUGUGAGCCACUGCGCCUGGCCAGGCUUCUUAAAAACUAAAAUACAGACAAGGAUAAAGGGCAAGCCUGCAGGAAAAGUCAAUAGAACCUCACAAUGCG
rnacentral:lncRNA from 1 species